UGGUCUCAACCCAGUCCAAAGCACAUUGUGGAUUAUCUGCCUUGAUAUCCUGGGUUAUAUGGCUGUGUGGAAGGGCCCUUUGUCUUCUUUUCAAUCAGGACUCCAAGGAAGCUGUUCAAGGUACUGAAUCCUAUCUGCAAAAAUCAGUUCAUCUCCCAGAUAUCAGCUCAUCACCCAUAUGGAAGCCACCAGCCAUGAUUGAACAUUUCCUCAAGAUAUUAUAUCUGUUGCUACUAAUAGCAGGGUUUCUAUUCUUUUGCAUAGCUGUUCUGCAGAAGAAAAUACAGCCAAUGUAUACAUGAACAAUAAGGAAAUAUUACAAGGCUGGUGAACAAGACAGAAUGAUGGUACAGGAAUUUAGAAAGAGCACGCUUUCUACCUUGAUACUAAUUAAACCAGCUGGGAUUCCAUAAAUAGUCCUUACAUUCCUCAUAAAUUUUAUUCUGUUCUGACAAGCCUGUCAACACAAAGCAGUUUGUCUGAGAGAGUGAGAAAAUAUGGGCCUGCAACAUACUUUGAAGUAGUUAAAUGUAGCUCUCAGAGUAUUUUAAAAUAUUUAAACCAUCCUUUCCAAGACUUUUAAUCAACCUUACUUUAACAUUUUUUCUUCAAAUCAUUUUAAUAACAAGGGGCAAAAGGGGAGGGGGGAGGAGAUGAAAAUUGGAGUUUUCUGUUAUACCAUCCAUGUAUCAUUUUCCAGAGGAGUCACGUGUGAUUCUAUUGAUGCAAAAUUGCAAUGGGUUUGUGGCACUUUUGAGACUUACUGUUUCUAAAUCAUAACCUUCUGCAGACUAGAGACUGCUAUAUCUGAUUAUUCAAGUCAUAUCCUACAUCAGCAAAUAUGCCAUACAGAGAAAAUAAAAUGUAAGAUUGGAGUAAUA